rnacentral:rRNA from 1 species
GGCCAGACUCCUACGGGAGGCAGCAGUGGGGAAUAUUGGGCAAUGGGCGAAAGCCUGACCCAGCAACGCCGCGUGAAGGAAGAAGGCUUUCGGGUUGUAAACUUCUUUUGACAGGGAAGAGCAGAAGACGGUACCUGUCGAAUAAGCCACGGCUAACUACGUGCCAGCAGCCGCGGUAAUACGUAGGGAGCAAGCGUUGUCCGGAAUUACUGGGUGUAAAGGGAGCGUAGGCGGGAUGGCAAGUUGGGUGUUAAAUCUACCGGCUCAACUGGUAGUCGCACUCAAAACUGCUAUUCUUGAGUGAAGUAGAGGCAGGCGGAAUUCCUAGUGUAGCGGUGAAAUGCGUAGAUAUUAGGAGGAACACCAGUGGCGAAGGCGUCUUACUGGACCGAAACUGACGUUGAGGCUCGAAAGCGUGGGGAGCAAACAGGAUUAGAUACCCCAGUACUA